UACGUAGGGUGCAAGCGUUAAUCGGAAUUACUGGGCGUAAAGCGUGCGCAGGCGGUUUUGUAAGUCAGAUGUGAAAUCCCCGGGCUUAACCUGGGAACUGCGUUUGAAACUACAAGGCUAGAGUGUGGCAGAGGGGGGUGGAAUUCCACGUGUAGCAGUGAAAUGCGUAGAGAUGUGGAGGAACACCGAUGGCGAAGGCAGCCCCCUGGGUUAACACUGACGCUCAGGCACGAAAGCGUGGGGAGCAAAAGGG
rnacentral:rRNA from 1 species